UGGGGAAUAUUGGACAAUGGGCGCAAGCCUGAUCCAGCCAUGCCGCGUGAGUGAUGAAGGCCUUAGGGUUGUAAAGCUCUUUCGCCGACGAAGAUAAUGACGGUAGUCGGAGAAGAAGCCCCGGCUAACUUCGUGCCAGCAGCCGCGGUAAUACGAAGGGGGCUAGCGUUGUUCGGAAUCACUGGGCGUAGAGCGCACGUAGGCGGAUUGUUAAGUCAGGGGUUGAAAGCCUGGAGCUCAACUCCAGAACUGCCCUUGAUACUGGCAAUCUCGAGUCCGGAAGAGGUAAGUGGAACUGCGAGUGUAGAGGUGAAAUUCGUAGAUAUUCGCAAGAACACCAGUGGCGAAGGCGGCUUACUGGUCCGGUACUGACGCUGAGGUGCGAAAAGCGUGGGGAGCAAAACAGGAUUAGAUACCCUGGUAGUCCACGCCGUAAACGAUGGAGGCUAGCCGUUGGCGAGCAUGCUCGUCAGUGGCGCAGCUAACGCAUUAAGCCUCCCGCCUGGGGAGUACGGUCGCAAGAUU
rnacentral:rRNA from 1 species